GCCUUAAACCGAGGGGAAGAAAAGCCCUUUUUGACCUUACGGGCCUUGCGCUAUCAGAUGAGCCUAGGUCUGGAUUAGCUAGUUGGUGAGGUAAUGGCUCACCAAGGCUACGAUCCGUAACUGGUCUGAGAGGAUGAUCAGUCACACUGGAACUGAGACACGGUCCAGACUCCUACGGGAGGCAGCAGUGGGGAAUAUUGGACAAUGGGCGAAAGCCUGAUCCAGCCAUGCCGCGUGUGUGAAGAAGGUCUUCGGAUUGUAAAGCACUUUAAGUUGGGAGGAAGGGCAUUAACCUAAUACGUUAGUGUUUUGACGUUACCGACAGAAUAAGCACCGGCUAACUCUGUGCCAGCAGCCGCGGUAAUACAGAGGGUGCAAGCGUUAAUCUGAAUUACUGGGCGUAAAGCGCGCGUAGGUGGUUUGUUAAGUUGAAUGUGAAAUCCCCGGGCUCAACCUGGGAACUGCAUCCUAAACUGGCAAGCUAGAGUAUGGAAGAGGGUAGUGGAAUUUCCUGUUGUAGCGGUGAAAAUGCGUAGAUAUAGGAAAGGAAACACCAGU
rnacentral:rRNA from 1 species